ACAGCAGUCGCCACGGUAAUACAGAGGGUGCGAGCGUUAAUCGGAUUUACUGGGCGUAAAGCGUGCGUAGGCGGCUUUUUAAGUCGGAUGUGAAAUCCCUGAGCUUAACUUAGGAAUUGCAUUCGAUACUGGGAAGCUAGAGUAUGGGAGAGGAUGGUAGAAUUCCAGGUGUAGCGGUGAAAUGCGUAGAGAUCUGGAGGAAUACCGAUGGCGAAGGCAGCCAUCUGGCCUAAUACUGACGCUGAGGUACGUAAGCAUGGGGAGCAAACAGGAUUAGAGACCCGGGUAGUCCCUGUCUCUUAUAC
rnacentral:rRNA from 1 species